GGAUGAGUGAUCGGGAUGGAGCAAGACAAGAGAGAACAUCGGUGCCAGAUUGAGCAUGUUAAGCAAUAUCAGAGCUGGCCCACUGUGCUCCAGGCAUGGAUACGGAACUCCUCCAGAGCAGAGACACAAUUCCUCCAGGCUAUGGUUAUUUCAACAAAAGAGAGAGGAAGGGCUCAGCUAGUUACUCUGUGGCUUUCUGG